UACGUAGGUGGCGAGCGUUAUCCGGAAUGAUUGGGCGUAAAGGGUGCGUAGGCGGCCUGCUAAGUCUGGAGUGAAAGGUACCGGCUCAACCGGUACAGGCUCUGGAAACUGGCGGGCUAGAGAGCAGGAGAGGGCGGUGGAACUCCAUGUGUAGCGGUAAAAUGCGUAGAUAUAUGGAAGAACACCAGUGGCGAAGGCGACCUGCUAGAACAUAACUGACGCUGAUGCGCGAAAGCGUGGGGAGCAAACAGG
rnacentral:rRNA from 1 species